ACAAUUUGGUGCUGAGUUAACCAGUAACAGAACCGGUCAGGGAGGCGCUUUUUGCCUUGAGAGCACCAGAGACACCAUCGACGAUUGAUAGCUCCUGGUGCCAGGGGUUUGUGUAGCGCCAGUGAGAAUUCUUUGGCAUUGCUUAGGUACCACUACCUUUGACCCUUCACGCCCGUCGAGAGUUCUACCUCUCUUGCAAGCAUCUGCAAUCGUGCGACGCUCGUUCUGCCUAAAGCUUCUCAUGCCAUUGAUCCCGUCUGUUCGGCGACAACAGAUUUUUAAUCCUCUCGGUCUGGUGAUAGCCUACUUGUGAUGUAGGAGCAAGUUGCCUGCAGAUGCAUUAAAUGUGCCAUGGCAGGAAGAAUUUAGAAUGUAUUAAUAAAUAAAUGAGAGUCUCCAACAUACCAUUGCAUUUGAGAAUGUGAAAGCUAUGAAGAAGGUGAAACAAAAGUUGUUCAGUGAUGAGAUACAACAGAUUGUCGAUGAGCUCAACCCAAACUAAUGGAUAAGUAAUAUCGUAAGUACACUAUAUCUUCAUAUAAUAAGGGAAUUGGUAGGUGGAACAUUUACUUUGUCUAUCUUCUCCUCAUAUGUUUUGCUUGAUGCAAUAUAUUUAAUGUGACAAAGAGUAACAAAUGAAAAGACUACAUUCUCAGUCCUAUUGUCAUGGUUUUUUACAUUUUGCAAUACGUUUAUUGCUUGCUUAUUAUUAAUACGUUAUUUAUGAUCUUGUAUCAUACUGUAUGGAAUGAAGCCCCUGGAUGCCCUUCGGUUCUAGUUUCGUGCAUGGUAGAAAGAUGUUUGUUGACCCUAAUCUGUUAGCUCAUUUGAAGUUGUCUAUAUUCAACUGAUUACCAACAAAUGCAUGGAGCA